CGUGAAUUAAAAUUCUGGAAAAAGGGGCAAAGCUUCUUCAUCUUCAACCUCUUGAUUUUCAUUGUAACCAAAAAAAAACCUCUUGAUUUUCAUAAAAUCAUCCAAUUAAAUCCUCUUUUCUCUAAUCUCUUCCACAUCCAUAGUUAAUUCUUCUUGUACCUUCUUCAAAUUAAAGGGCUCAAUCAACAUGUGUUCUAAAAGGUGAGUAUUUUUUCUCUCAAAAUCAAAUUUUGAAACUCCAAAUCAAUUUCCGUACGGUACAGCUUCGUGUCUGAUUUUGUGAAUAAAUUCUAAUGGAUCUUUGAAUUCAUCUUAAGUUGGAUACUAAAUUGGUGCUGGAGGUAUAGUUGGAGAUGAAAUUGGGUGAUUUCGACCUAAUACACUAUUUUUCAACAGACCUACGCUUUUAUUUUCUCAUCACUGUUGAUACUGUUCUGAAGAAAUGAGAAUUAAAGUGUAUGCAGGUUUAGUUUUUCAAUUAAUAAAUGAAGGAUUCGUUUUUUUUUUCUUUCUUUCUGGAUUGGAUUGGAAGAUAUGAAGAUUGCUAUGAAGCAUGGAGAUGAAGAUAUGAAGACUCACGUGCUUUCUGGGUUUAAUUUUCCUUUCUUACCUGAAUUUGAUGUUAUAGAGGAAGAAGAGAAGAAGACCAAGCGCUUCUCUCCUUAAUUCUUUCUUUUUUUAUUAUUUUAAUUCUACAUAUACACUUGUGGCUUUUACAUUUAUUUUAAAUUCAAAAAGUAGAUAGUUGGCGAUUUUUUAAUUGAUGUGGCGUGACACAUAAGUUUGACUAAGUUAAAAUUGAGGUUUUGCAAAAAGGGAUAACAUGGGGGGUCACUUUUGUCAUUUUUUUUAAUAGGGGGCCCAAAUUGCAACUUUUGCAAACUUAGAGGGUUAAAAGUACGUUUAAGCCUAAAAUAUUCUCUUGUUUUUACAAAUUGGCAAAUACAUGUAAAAUCAUUAAAC
rnacentral:lncRNA from 1 species